AUUGAACGCUGGCGGCAUGCUUUACACAUGCAAGUCGAACGGUAACAGGUUAAGCUGACGAGUGGCGAACGGGUGAGUAAUGCAUCGGAACGUGCCCGAUCGUGGGGGAUAACGCAGCGAAAGCUGCGCUAAUACCGCAUACGAUCUGAGGAUGGAAGCGGGGGACCGUAAGGCCUCGCGCGAUCGGAGCGGCCGAUGUCAGAUUAGGUAGUUGGUGGGGCAAAGGCUCACCAAGCCAACGAUCUGUAGCUGGUCUGAGAGGACGACCAGCCACACUGGGAUUGAGACACGGCCCAGGCUCCUACGGGAGGCAGCAGUGGGGAAUUUUGGACAAUGGGCGAAAGCCUGAUCCAGCAAUGCCGCGUGCAGGAAGAAGGCCUUCGGGUUGUAAACUGCUUUUGUACGGAGCGAAAAGGUCUCCUCUAAUACAGGGGGCUCAUGACGGUACCAUAAGAAUAAGCACCGGCUAACUACGUGCCAGCAGCCGCGGUAA
rnacentral:rRNA from 1 species